UACGAAGGGGGCUAGCGUUGUUCGGAAUUACUGGGCGUAAAGGGCGCGUAGGCGGUGUGUCAAGUCAGGCGUGAAAGCCCCGGGCUCAACCUGGGAACAGCGCUUGAGACUGGCACGCUCGAGUUCGGGAGAGGAUGGUGGAAUUCCCAGUGUAGUGGUGAAAUACGUAGAGAUGGGAAGAACACCAGUGGCGAAGGCGGCUAUCUGGACGGUUUCUGACACUAAGACUCGAAAGCGUGGGGGAGCAAACAGG
rnacentral:rRNA from 1 species